rnacentral:rRNA from 1 species
UACAGAGGUCCCGAGCGUUGUUCGGAUUCACUGGGCGUAAAGGGUGCGUAGGUGGCCAUGAAAGUUCGAUGUGAAAUCUCCGGGCUCAACCCGGAAAAGGCAUUGAAAACUCUGUGGCUGGAGGUUUGGAGGGGGGACUGGAAUUCUCGGUGUAGCAGUGAAAUGCGUAGAUAUCGAGAGGAACACCAGUGGCGAAGGCGGGUCCCUGGACAACACCUGACACUGAGGCACGAAAGCUAGGGGAGCAAACAGG